rnacentral:rRNA from 1 species
GACGAACGCUGGCGGCGGGCUUAACACAUGCAAGUCGAACGGCAAGGCCCUGCUUUUGUGCGGUGCCCGAUUGGCGAUCGCGUGAGUAACAGGUGAGCAACCUGCUCUUCUUUUUCGUAUGACUUCAGGAAACUGGGCUUACUAUCGUAUAGGAGCUGCCGUUCCAUUGUGGGGGGUGGAUAGUUUCGGCGGUCGGGGUUGGAUGCGCGGCUGAUGAGCUUGCUGGUGGGGGAGUUGAUUACCAAGGCUGUGACGGGUAGCCGGCCGGAGAGGGUGACCGGCGACAUUGGGACUGAGAGACGGCCCAGAGUCGUACGGGAGGCAGCAGUGGGGAAUAUUGCCCAAUGGGCGGAAGCCUGAUGCAGCAACGCCGCGUGCGGGAUGACGGCCUUCGGGUUGUAAACCGCUUUCGCCUGUGACGAAGCGUGAGUGACGGUAAUGGGUAAAGAAGCACCGGCUAACUACGUG